rnacentral:rRNA from 1 species
GACGAACGCUGGCGGCGUGCUUAACACAUGCAAGUCGAACGGAAAGGCCCUGCUUUUGUGGGGUGCUCGAGUGGCGAACGGGUGAGUAACACGUGAGUAACCUGCCCUUGACUUUGGGAUAACUUCAGGAAACUGGGGCUAAUACCGGAUAGGAGCUCCUGCUGCAUGGUGGGGGUUGGAAAGUUUCGGCGGUUUGGGAUGGACUCGCGGCUUAUCCGCUUGUUGGUGGGGUAGUGGCUUACCAAGGCUUUGACGGGUAGCCGGCCUGAGAGGGUGACCGGCCACAUUGGGACUGAGAUACGGCCCAGACUCCUACGGGAGGCAGCAGUGGGGAAUAUUGCGCAAUGGGCGGAAGCCUGAUGCAGCAACGCCGCGUGCGGGAUGACGGCCUUCGGGUUGUAAACCGCUUUCGCCUGUGACGAAGCGUGAGUGACGGUAAUGGGUAAAGAAGCACCGGCUAACUACGUG